rnacentral:rRNA from 1 species
UGGGGUAUCUUGGACAAUGGGCGAAAGCCUGAUCCAGCCAUGCCGCGGGUCUGAAGAAGGUCUUCGGAUUGUAAAGCACUUUAAGUUGGGAGGAAGGGCAGUAAGCGAAUACCUUGCUGUUUUGACGUUAUCGACAGAAUAAGCACCGGCUAACUCUGUGCCAGCAGCCGCGGUAAUACAGAGGGUGCAAGCGUUAAUCGGAAUUACUGGGCGUAAAGCGCGCGUAGGUGGUUCGUUAAGUUGAAUGUGAAAGCCCCGGGCUCAACCUUGGAACUGCAUCCAAAACUGGCGAGCUAGAGUAGGGAAGAGGGUGGUGGAAUUUCCUGUGUAGCGGUGAAAUGCGUAGAUAUAGGAAGGAACACCAGUGGCGAAGGCGACGACCUGGGUGCAUACUGACACUGAGGUGCGAAAGCGUGGGGAGCAAACAGG